rnacentral:rRNA from 1 species
UGCAAGUCGAGCGGACAGAAGGGAGCUUGCUCCCGGAUGUUAGCGGCGGACGGGUGAGUAACACGUGGGUAACCUGCCUGUAAGACUGGGAUAACUCCGGGAAACCGGAGCUAAUACCGGAUAGUUCCUUGAACCGCAUGGUUCAAGGAUGAAAGACGGUUUCGGCUGUCACUUGCAGAUGGACCCGCGGCGCAUUAGCUAGUUGGUGGGGUAAUGGCUCACCAAGGCGACGAUGCGUAGCCGACCUGAGAGGGUGAUCGGCCACACUGGGACUGAGACACGGCCCAGACUCCUACGGGAGGCAGCAGUAGGGAAUCUUCCGCAAUGGACGAAAGUCUGACGGAGCAACGCCGCGUGAGUGAUGAAGGUUUUCGGAUCGUAAAGCUCUGUUGUUAGGGAAGAACAAGUGCGAGAGUAACUGCUCGCACCUUGACGGUACCUAACCAGAAAGCCACGGCUAACUACGUGCCAGCAGCCGCGGUAAUACGUAGGUGGCAAGCGUUGUCCGGAAUUAUUGGGCGUAAAGGGCUCGCAGGCGGUUUCUUAAGUCUGAUGUGAAAGCCCCCGGCUCAACCGGGGAGGGUCAUUGGAAACUGGGAAACUUGAGUGCAGAAGAGGAGAGUGGAAUUCCACGUGUAGCGGUGAAAUGCGUAGAGAUGUGGAGGAACACCAGUGGCGAAGGCGACUCUCUGGUCUGUAACUGACGCUGAGGAGCGAAAGCGUGGGGAGCGAACAGGAUUAGAUACCCUGGUAGUCCACGCCGUAAACGAUGAGUGCUAAGUGUUAGGGGGUUUCCGCCCCUUAGUGCUGCAGCUAACGCAUUAAGCACUCCGCCUGGGGAGUACGGUCGCAAGACUGAAACUCAAAGGAAUUGACGGGGGCCCGCACAAGCGGUGGAGCAUGUGGUUUAAUUCGAAGCAACGCGAAGAACCUUACCAGGUCUUGACAUCCUCUGACAACCCUAGAGAUAGGGCUUUCCCUUCGGGGACAGAGUGACAGGUGGUGCAUGGUUGUCGUCAGCUCGUGUCGUGAGA